rnacentral:rRNA from 1 species
AACGUACGCUGGCGGCACGCCUAACACAUGCAAGUCGAACGAAGUAGCAAUACUUAGUGGCAGACGGGUGAGUAACAUGUAGGUAUCUGCCCUUUGGCCUGGAAUAACACGAGGAAACUUGUGCUAAUACCGGAUAAGUCUUUACGGAGAAAGCUUUAUGCACCAUUGGAUGAGCCUGCACUUGAUUAGUUUGUUGGUGGGGUAAUGGCCUACCAAGACUGUGAUCAAUAGCUGAUUUGAGAGGAUGAUCAGCCACAUUGGGACUGAGACACGGCCCAAACUCCUACGGGAGGCAGCAGUGGGGAAUCUUGCACAAUGGAGGAAACUCUGAUGCAGCGAUGCCGCGUGAGUGAAGAAGGCCCUUGGGUUGUAAAGCUCUUUCGUCGGGGAAGAAAAUGACUGUACCCGAAUAAGAAGGUCCGGCUAACUUCGUGCCAGCAGCCGCGGUAAUACGAAGGGACCUAGCGUAGUUCGGAAUUACUGGGCUUAAAGAGUUCGUAGGUGGUUGAAAAAGUUAGUGGUGAAAUCCCAGAGCUUAACUCUGGAACUGCCAUUAAAACUUUUCAGCUAGAGUAUGAUAGAGGAAAGCAGAAUUUCUAGUGUAGAGGUGAAAUUCGUAGAUAUUAGAAAGAAUACCAAUUGCGAAGGCAGCUUUCUGGAUCAUUACUGACACUGAGGAACGAAAGCAUGGGUAGCGAAGAGGAUUAGAUACCCUCGUAGUCCAUGCCGUAAACGAUGUGUGUUAGACGUUGGAAAUUUAUUUUCAGUGUCGCAGGGAAACCGAUAAACACACCGCCUGGGGAGUACGACCGCAAGGUUAAAACUCAAAUGAAUUGACGGGGACCCGCACAAGUAGUGGAGCAUGUGGUUUAAUUCGAAGAUACGCGCAGAACCUUACCAACACUUGACAUGUUCGUCGCAACUCUAAGAGAUUAGAGUUUUCGGUUCGGCCGGACGAAACACAGGUGCUGCAUGGCUGUCGUCAGCUCGUGUCGUGAGAUGUUGGGUUAAGUCCCGCAACGAGCGCAACCCUCACUUUUAGUUGCCAUCAUUAAGUUGGGCACUCUGAAAGAACUGCCAGUGAUAAGCUGGAGGAAGGUGGGGAUGACGUCAAGUCCUCAUGGCCCUUACGUGUUGGGCUACACACGUGCUACAAUGGUAUCUACAACAGGAAGCAAGACUGCGAAGUUAAGCAAAUCCCUAAAAGAUACCUCAGUUCGGAUUGCACUCUGCAACUCGAGUGCAUGAAGCUGGAAUUACUAGUAAUCGUGGAUCAGCGUGCCACGGUGAAUGCGUUCCCGGGUCU